rnacentral:rRNA from 1 species
UACGUAGGGGGCUAGCGUUGUCCGGAAUCAUUGGGCGUAAAGCGCGUGUAGGCGGUCCGGUAAGUCCGCUGUGAAAGUCGGGGGCUCAACCCUCGAAUGCCGGUGGAUACUGUCGGGCUAGAGUGCGGAAGAGGCGAGUGGAAUUCCUGGUGUAGCGGUGAAAUGCGCAGAUAUCAGGAGGAACACCUAUUGCGAAGGCAGCUCGCUGGGACGUUACUGACGCUGAGACGCGAAAGCGUGGGGAGCAAACAGG